UACGAAGGGGGCUAGCGUUGUUCGGAAUUACUGGACGUAAAGCGCACGUAGGCGGGUUUGUAAGUAGGGGGUGAAAUCCCAGGGCUCAACCCUGGAAUUGCCUUCUAGACUGCAAGCCUGGAGGUCAGGAGAGGCGAGCGGAAUUCCGAGUGUAGAGGUGAAAUUCGUAGAUAUUCGGAGGAACACCAGUGGCGAAGGCGGCUCGCUGGACUGAUACUGACGCUGAGGUGCGAAAGCGUGGGGAGCAAACAGG
rnacentral:rRNA from 1 species